GUCUUGCUAAAUUGCCCAGGCUGGCCUCUUUUUAUCCUCCUACUUCAGCCUCCAAAGCUGCUGGAAUUACAGGCAGUGGCCAUUGCACCUUGCUUAGAUGUCUCUUGAAAUCCAGCAGAUUUAUGAGAUCUUUCUUGUCUUUUUUCCCAAAUUUGUGAAUAAUUCGUGCAUUUACAAUGCACAUCAAUUAUUGAGUGUCUGGAGGCCAAUACCAUUUUUUACCUCUAAUAGAAGUAGAAUAUUUGGAAACCAACCAAUAGUGUUUAUCUGUAUCAUCACUGAAAUUGUUAAAGGUACCCAUUACCUUUGGUUGAGGUACAUUGGCUGUGCUCUUUCUUUCUUCCAUAUCUGAACUUUGCCAAGUGGUUCCACUGUAUGAUAGUUCAUUCCAACAAUGGCACAUUUAUUAUCUAACCAUUUUACAAUGAAAAUUUCAUUAUUUAUAUUGACUAUAAUAAUCAUAGGACCUUCUUGCUUGUUUUUUCCAUUAAUGUUGUAGAUUUCAGAAGAUACUUGUUAGUCUGUUUUCCCUUAAGGUACCUGUAGAUUGGAAUCCAGUAUUUUUUUGGAGGGGGAGUACUGGUGAUUAAAUUCAGAGGCACUCGACUAAGCCACAUCCCCAGCCCUAUUUUGUAUUUUAUUUAGAGACAAGGUCUCACUGAGUUGCUUAGUGCCUCAUUAAAUUGCUGAGGCUGGCUUUGAAUUCAUGAUCCUCCUGCCUCAGCACCCCGCCACCUCCACCUCCCAACCCCUGUCUUUGUCUCUGGGAUUACAGGUGUGUGCUACUGCACCCAGCCUCCAGCACUUUUUCUACAAUAUAAAUCAAAAUUGAUGCAAUAUCCCAAAACUCCACACAGUGCCCAGAAUUUAUAACCAAAUCUUAUGUUUUUUUUUAAUGUUUUUCUAGUUGUAGAUGGACAGCAUGCUUUUGUUUCAUUUUUUUUAAGUAUUUAUUUUUUAGUUGUAGUUG
rnacentral:lncRNA from 1 species